AUAUUGGUCAAUGGGCGCAAGCCUGAACCAGCCAUGCCGCGUGCAGGAUUAAGGCCCUAUGGGUUGUAAACUGCUUUUGUACGGGAAGAAACAGCGCUUCGUGAAGCGCCUUGACGGUACCGUAAGAAUAAGGAUCGGCUAACUCCGUGCCAGCAGCCGCGGUAAUACGGAGGAUCCAAGCGUUAUCCGGAAUCAUUGGGUUUAAAGGGUCCGUAGGCGGGCCUGUAAGUCAGUGGUGAAAUCCGGCGGCUUAACCGUCGAACUGCCAUUGAUACUGCAGGUCUUGAAUUAUUGGGAAGUAACUAGAAUAUGUAGUGUAGCGGUGAAAUGCUUAGAUAUUACAUGGAAUACCGAUUGCGAAGGCAGGUUACUACCAAUACAUUGACGCUGAUGGACGAAAGCGUGGGGAGCGAACAGG
rnacentral:rRNA from 1 species